rnacentral:rRNA from 1 species
UACGAAGGGGGCUAGCGUUGUUCGGAUUUACUGGGCGUAAAGCGCACGUAGGCGGACUCUUAAGUCGGUGGUGAAAUCCUGGAGCUCAACUCCAGAACUGCCUUCGAUACUGAGAGUCUCGAGUCCGGGAGAGGUGAGUGGAACUGCGAGUGUAGAGGUGAAAUUCGUAGAUAUUCGGAAGAACACCAGUGGCGAAGGCGGCUCACUGGUCCGGUACUGACGCUGAGGUGCGAAAGCGUGGGGAGCAAACGGG